GACGAACGCUGGCGGCGUGCCUAAUACAUGCAAGUAGAACGCACAGUUUAUACUGUAGCUUGCUACACCAUAAACUGUGAGUUGCGAACGGGUGAGUAACGCGUAGGUAACCUGCCUGGCAGCGGGGGAUAACUAUUGGAAACGAUAGCUAAUACCGCAUAAUAUUGAUUAUUGCAUGAUACUUGAUUUAACGAUGCUAUUGAAUCACUACUAGAUGGACCUGCGUUGUAUUAGCUAGUAGGUGAGGUAACGGCUAACCUAGGCGACGAUACAUAGCCGACCUGAAAGGGUGAUCGGCCACACUGGGACUGAGACACGGCCCAGACUCCUACGGGAGGCAGCAGUAGGGAAUCUUCGGCAAUGGACGAAAGUCUGACCGAGCAACGCCGCGUGAGUGAAGAAGGUUUUCGGAUCGUAAAGCUCUGUUGUAAUAGAAGAACGGGUGUGAGAGUGGAAAGUUCACACUGUGACGGUAUCUUACCAGAAAGGGACGGCUAACUACGUG
rnacentral:rRNA from 1 species